rnacentral:rRNA from 1 species
AGUGAACGCUGGCGGUAGGCCUAACACAUGCAAGUCGAACGGCAGCACAGAGGAGCUUGCUCCUUGGGUGGCGAGUGGCGGACGGGUGAGGAAUACAUCGGAAUCUACUCUGUCGUGGGGGAUAACGUAGGGAAACUUACGCUAAUACCGCAUACGACCUACGGGUGAAAGCAGGGGAUCUUCGGACCUUGCGCGAUUGAAUGAGCCGAUGUCGGAUUAGCUAGUUGGCGGGGUAAAGGCCCACCAAGGCGACGAUCCGUAGCUGGUCUGAGAGGAUGAUCAGCCAAACUGGAACUGAGACACGGUCCAGACUCCUACGGGAGGCAGCAGUGGGGAAUAUUGGACAAUGGGCGCAAGCCUGAUUCAGCCAUACCGCGUGGGUGAAGAAGGCCUUCGGGUUGUAAAGCCCUUUUGUUGGGAAAGAAAUCCAUCUGGUUAAUACCCGGGUGGGAUGACGGUACCCAAAGAAUAAGCACCGGCUAACUUCGUGCCAGCAGCCGCCGUAA